rnacentral:rRNA from 1 species
GACGUAGGGCGCGAGCGUUGUCCGGAUUUAUUGGGCGUAAAGAGCUCGUAGGCGGCUUGUCGCGUCGUCUGUGAAAUCCCGUGGCUCAACUGCGGGCUGGCAGUCGAUACGGGCAGGCUGGAGUUCGGUAGGGGAGACUGGAAUUCCUGGUGUAGCGGUGAAAUGCGCAGAUAUCAGGAGGAACACCGGUGGCGAAGGCGGGUCUCUGGACAGUUCCUGACGCUGAGGCACGAAGGUCAGGGGAGCAAACGGG